GACAGAGACAGACGGUCUACCUGGUCAUGGAUCACCUGCUGAUGGUGUUGGUGUUGCUGUGGAGUUCAGGACUCCAGGCUGAAGAUAAACACCAACCAACAGGUUCUCAGUGUGAAAGCACAGCCAAGGCUGACAUCGUGCUGUUGGUCUGUGAAUCCAGGAACACCACCUCUGAAGACCAUGAAAACAUUAAGUCCUUUCUAACUCAAAUAGUCAACAACUUCAACAUG